GUGAUAUUUGUCACCAUGGCAACUGUUGUAAUAAUACUUAACGAUUGCAGUUUAGAGCUUAUAUAUGCUUCAAUGCAUGUAUUUUCAUAAAGGUUUGGAAAUAAUUGAGAACAUUGAAUUCCCCCAUACCGCAGAAUUCAAUAAAUAAUAACUCUGUUUCCAAGGGGAAAAUACGUUAACAUGGUGAUAAAAUUCAAGAGAGCCCCACG
rnacentral:lncRNA from 1 species